GACGAACGCUGGCGGCGUGCUUAACACAUGCAAGUCGAACGAGAACGGGAUAUAGCUUGCUAUAUUUGUCAGCUAAGUGGCGCACGGGUGAGUAAUGUAUAGAUAACCUGCCCUCUAGAAAGGAAUAACAGUUGGAAACGACUGCUAAUGCCCUAUAUGCCUUUAAUACAUAAGUAUGCAAGGGAAACGCUUUAGUGCUAGAGGAUGGGUCUGUAUGGUAUCAGCUUGUUGGUGAGGUAAUGGCUCACCAAGGCUAUGACGCCUAACUGGUUUGAGAGGAUGAUCAGUCACACUGGAACUGAGACGCGGUCCAGACUCCUACGGGAGGCAGCAGUGGGGAAUAUCGCACAAUGGACGAAAGUCUGAUGCAGCAACGCCGCGUGGAGGAUGACACAUUUCGGUGCGUAAACUCCUUUUAUAUAGGAAGAUAAUGACGGUACUAUAUGAAUAAGCACCGGCUAACUCCGUGCCAGCCGCCGCCGUAA
rnacentral:rRNA from 1 species